UACGUAGGGUGCGAGCGUUAAUCGGAAUUACUGGGCGUAAAGCGCGCGUAGGCGGUUUGGUAAGCUGGAUGUGAAAGCCCUGGGCUCAACCUGGGAACUGCAUCCAGAACUGCCAAGCUAGAGUAUGGUAGAGGACAGUGGAAUUUCCGGUGUAGCGGUGAAAUGCGUAGAGAUCGGAAGGAACACCAGUGGCGAAGGCGACUGUCUGGACCAAUACUGACGCUGAGGUGCGAAAGCGUGGGGAGCAAACAGG
rnacentral:rRNA from 1 species